CUACGGGAGGCAGCAGUGAGGAAUAUUGGGCAAUGGGGGAAACCCUGACCCAGCAAUGCCGCGUGCGGGAAGACGCCUUUCGGGGUGUAAACCGCUUUUCUGCAUGAAGAGGAAGGACGGUAGUGCAGGAAUAAGUCACGGCUAACUACGUGCCAGCAGCCGCGGUAAAACGUAGGACGCAAGCGUUAUCCGGAAUUACUGGGCGUAAAGCGCGUGCAGGCGGUUUGACAAGUCAUGCGUGAAAGCUCCCGGCUAAACUGGGAGAGGUCGGAUGAGACUGUCAGGCUAGAGGGUGUUAGAGGCAUGUGGAAUUCCGCGUGUAGUGGUGAAAUGCGUAGAGAUGCGGAGGAACACCAGUGGCGAAGGCGGCACGCUGGGACACACCUGACGCUGAGACGCGAAAGCAUGGGUAGCGAACGGGAUUAGAAACCCUAGUAGUCC
rnacentral:rRNA from 1 species